UAAGGAAUAUUGGUCAAUGGACGCAAGUCUGAACCAGCCAUGCCGCGUGCAGGAUGACGGCCCUACGGGUUGUAAACUGCUUUUGUACGGGAAAAAACCUCCGGUCGUGAAUCGGAGCUGAUGGUACCGUAAGAAUAAGCAUCGGCUAACUCCGUGCCAGCAGCCGCGGUAAUACGGAGGAUGCAAGCGUUAUCCGGAUUCAUUGGGUUUAAAGGGUGCGCAGGCGGAAUGAUAAGUCAGUGGUGAAAUCUCUCGGCUCAACUGAGAAACUGCCAUUGAUACUGUUGUUCUUGAGUACGAUUGAAGUGGCGGAAUGUGUCAUGUAGCGGUGAAAUGCUUAGAUAUGACACAGAACACCGAUCGCGAAGGCAGCUCACUAAAUUGAACUGACGCUCAGGCA
rnacentral:rRNA from 1 species